rnacentral:rRNA from 1 species
GACGAACGCUGGCGGCGUGCUUAACACAUGCAAGUCGAACGGAAAGGCCCUGCUUUUGUGGGGUGCUCGAGUGGCGAACGGGUGAGUAACACGUGAGUAACCUGCCCUUGACUUUGGGAUAACUUCAGGAAACUGGGGCUAAUAUCGGAUAGGAGCUCCUGCUGCAUGGUGGGGGUUGGAAAGUUUCGGCGGUUGGGGAUGGACUCGCGGCUUAUCAGCUUGUUGGUGGGGUAGUGGCUUACCAAGGCUUCGACGGGUAGCCGGCCUGGGAGGGUGACCGGCCACAAUGGGACUAAGGUACGGCCCAGACUCGUACGGGAGGCAGCAGUGGGGAGUCUUGCGCAAUGGGCGGGAGCCUGAUGCAGCGGCGCCGCGUGCGGGAUGACGGCCUUCGGGUGGUGAACCGCUUUCGCCUGUGACGAAGCGUGAGUGACGGUAAUGGGUAAAGAAGCACCGGCUAACUACGUG